rnacentral:misc_RNA from 1 species
AACGCACAUUGCGCCCGGCAGUAAUCUGCCGGGCAUGCCUGUCCGAGCGUCAUUUCAACCCUCGAACCUCCGUUUCCUCAGGGAAGCUCAGGGUCGGCGUUGGGGCGCUACGGCGAGUCUUCGCGACCCCCGUAGGCCCUGAAAUACAGUGGCGGUCCCGCCGCGGUUGCCUUCUGCGUAGUAAGUCUCUUUUGCAAGCUCGCAUUGGGUCCCGGCGGAGGCCUGCCGUCAAACCUAUAACUUCAGAUGGUUUGACCUCGGAUCAGGUAGGGUUACCCGCUGAACUUAA